rnacentral:rRNA from 1 species
GCAUGCUAGUUGUACGAGUUUGUACUCGUAGCAGAUAGCUCAGUAACACGUGGCCAAACUACCCUAUGGAUCCGGACAACCUCGGGAAACUGAGGCUAAUCCGGAAUACGACUCUCAGCCUGGAAGUGGCGAGAGUCAGAAACGCUCCGGCGCCAUAGGAUGUGGCUGCGGCCGAUUAGGUAGACGGUGGGGUAACGGCCCACCGUGCCCAUAAUCGGUACGGGUUGUGAGAGCAAGAACCCGGAGACGGUAUCUGAGACAAGAUACCGGGCCCUACGGGGCGCAGCAGGCGCGAAACCUUUACACUGCACGAAAGUGCGAUAAGGGGACUCCAAGUGCGAGGGCAUAUAGUCCUCGCUUUUCACUACCGUAAGGAGGUAGUAGAAUAAGUGCUGGGCAAGACCGGUGCCAGCCGCCGCGGUAAUACCGGCAGCACGAGUGAUGACCGCUCUUAUUGGGCCUAAAGCGUCCGUAGCUGGCCACGCAAGUCUAUCGGGAAAUCCGCGCGCUCAACGCGCGGGCGUCCGGUGGAAACUGUGUGGCUUGGGACCGGAAGAUCCAGAGGGUACGUCUGGGGUAGGAGUGAAAUCCCGUAAUCCUGGACGGACCACCGGUGGCGAAAGCGCUCUGGAAAGACGGAUCCGACGGUGAGGGACGAAAGCUCGGGUCACGAACCGGAUUAGAUACCCGGGUAGUCCGAGCUGUAAACGAUGUCUGCUAGAUGUGCCACAGGCUACGAGCCUGUGGUGUGUCGUAGGGAAGCCGUGAAGCAGACCGCCUGGGAAGUACGUCCGCAAGGAUGAAACUUAA